rnacentral:rRNA from 1 species
UGCAGUCGAGCGAAUGGAUUGAGAGCUUGCUCUCAAGAAGUUAGCGGCGGACGGGUGAGUAACACGUGGGUAACCUGCCCAUAAGACUGGGAUAACUCCGGGAAACCGGGGCUAAUACCGGAUAACAUUUUGAACUGCAUGGUUCGAAAUUGAAAGGCGGCUUCGGCUGUCACUUAUGGAUGGACCCGCGUCGCAUUAGCUAGUUGGUGAGGUAACGGCUCACCAAGGCAACGAUGCGUAGCCGACCUGAGAGGGUGAUCGGCCACACUGGGACUGAGACACGGCCCAGACUCCUACGGGAGGCAGCAGUAGGGAAUCUUCCGCAAUGGACGAAAGUCUGACGGAGCAACGCCGCGUGAGUGAUGAAGGCUUUCGGGUCGUAAAACUCUGUUGUUAGGGAAGAACAAGUGCUAGUUGAAUAAGCUGGCACCUUGACGGUACCUAACCAGAAAGCCACGGCUAACUACGUGCCAGCAGCCGCGGUAAUACGUAGGUGGCAAGCGUUAUCCGGAAUUAUUGGGCGUAAAGCGCGCGCAGGUGGUUUCUUAAGUCUGAUGUGAAAGCCCACGGCUCAACCGUGGAGGGUCAUUGGAAACUGGGAGACUUGAGUGCAGAAGAGGAAAGUGGAAUUCCAUGUGUAGCGGUGAAAUGCGUAGAGAUAUGGAGGAACACCAGUGGCGAAGGCGACUUUCUGGUCUGUAACUGACACUGAGGCGCGAAAGCGUGGGGAGCAAACAGGAUAAACC